rnacentral:rRNA from 1 species
UUCCGGUUGAUCCUGCCGGAGGCUACCGCUAUUGGAGUUCGAUUAAGCCAUGCGAGUCCAGAGCUUUCGGAGCUCGGCGUACCGCUCAGUAACACGUGGGUAACCUAACCUAUGCAGGGGAAUAACCUCGGGAAACUGAGUAUAAUGCCCCAUAGUCCACUACGCCUGGAACGGUGAGUGGAUCAAAGCUCAGGCGGCAUAGGAUGGGCCUGCGGCGUAUCAGGUUGUAGGGGGUGUAAAGUACCCUCUAGCCAUCUACGCGUACGGGUGUUGGGAGACAUAGCCCGGAGAUGGAUUCUGAGACACGAAUCCAGACCCUACGGGGUGCAGCAGGCGCGAAAACUUGACAAUGCGAGCAAUCGUGAUCAGGGAACUCCAAGUGGCUGGGGUAAGACCCAGUCUUUUCAUAACUCUUCAAAGGUUGUAGAAUAAGGGGUGGGUAAGGACGGUGCCAGCCGCCGCGGUAAUACCGGCGCCUCAAGUGGUAGUCGCUUUUAUUGGGCCUAAAACGUCCGUAGCCGGUUUGGUACAUUCGUGGGUAAAUCAACUCGCUCAACGAGUUGAAUUCUGCGAGGACGGCCAAACUUGGGACCGGGAGAGGUGUGGGGUACUCUCAGGGUAGGGGUAAAAUCCUGUCAUCCUGAGAGGACCACCUGUUGCGAAGGCGCCACACUAGAACGGAUCCGACGGUCAGGGACGAAGCCUAGGGGCACGAACCGGAUUAGAUACCCGGGUAGUCCUAGGUGUAAACGCUGUGGACUUGAUGUUGGAGGAGCUCCGAGCUUCUUCAGUGUCGAAGCGAAGGUGAUAAGUCCACUGCCUGGGAAGUACGGUCGCAAGGCUGAAACUUAAAGGAAUUGGCGGGGGAGCACCACAAGGGGUGAAGCCUGCGGUUCAAUUGGAUUCAACGCCGGA